rnacentral:tRNA from 1 species
GAGAACGUAGCACAAUGGUAGUGCAACAGACUCCAAAUCUGGAGGUUGUAGGUUCGAGUCCUGCCGUUCUCC